rnacentral:rRNA from 1 species
AAUGGGCGCAAGCCUGAUGCAGCCAUGCCGCGUGUAUGAAGAAGGCCUUCGGGUUGUAAAGUACUUUCAGCAGUGAGGAAGGUGGAUAUGUUAAUAGCAUAUUCAUUUGACGUUAGCUGCAGAAGAAGCACCGGCUAACUCCGUGCCAGCAGCCGCGGUAAUACGGAGGGUGCGAGCGUUAAUCGGAAUUACUGGGCGUAAAGCGCAUGCAGGUGGUUUGUUAAGUCAGAUGUGAAAGCCCGGGGCUCAACCUCGGAAUUGCAUUUGAAACUGGCAAACUAGAGUACUGUAGAGGGGGUAGGAAUUUCAGGUGUAGCGGUGAAAUAGCGUAGAGAUCUGAAGGAAUACCGGUGGCGAAGGCGGCCCCCUGGACAGAUACUGACACUCAGAUGCGAAAGCGUGGGGAGCAAACAGGAUUAGAUACCCUGGUAG